rnacentral:rRNA from 1 species
GACGAACGCUGGCGGCGUGCUUAACACAUGCAAGUCGAACGGAAAGGCCCUGCUUUUGUGGGGUGCUCGAGUGGCGAACGGGUGAGUAACACGUGAGUAACCUGCCCUUGACUUUGGGAUAACUUCAGGAAACUGGGGCUAAUACCGGAUAGGAGCUCCCGCUGCACGGUGGGGGUUGGAAAGUUUCGGCGGUUGGGGAUGGACUCGCGGCUUAUCAGCUUGUUGGUGGGGUAGUGGCUUACCAAGGCUUUGACGGGUAGCCGGCCUGAGAGGGUGACCGGCCACAUUGGGACUGAGAUACGGCCCAGACUCCUACGGGAGGCAGCAGUGGGGAAUAUUGCACAAUGGGCGGAAGCCUGAUGCAGCAACGCCGCGUGCGGGAUGACGGCCUUCGGGUUGUAAACCGCUUUCGCCUGUGACGAAGCGUGAGUGACGGUAGUGAGUAAAGAAGCACCGGCUAACUACGUG